GGCUCAGCCAUGGAGAACAGUGGGAGUGCCAGGUUAGCAAAGCUGUUUCUAUAGUCCUCCAAUUUGUGUCCUCCAUCAAGAACCUUGUACAGCUCCAAGCAAACAAGGCCAGUUGCCAUAGCAGUGGAGGUUGCAAUUGCCGGGAUGAUCCUUCCAGCAAUGAAUUUAGCCUUCAGCUUGUCAACUUCAGGUAUGCCGUAAUUCCUUGCCCUCAUGUUCGCAAGUCCAGCUAUCAAGUCCAUAUGAUAGUUUGUGUCAUCAUCCUUCUCAAACUGAAUUGGAUUCAU
rnacentral:misc_RNA from 1 species